GCCUCCUGGUACCCGCCACAGGAGCGAAACGCCCGGCAGGAGUUCAAGGAGAGGCAUAUCCCUGGUGCGUCCUUCUUUGACAUCGAAGAGUGCCGGGACCAGUCCUCCCCCUACGACUUCAUGCUGCCCAGCGAGUCCCACUUCGCUGAUUAUGUGGGGGACCUGGGGGUCAGCAACAACACCCAUGUGGUGGUGUACGAUGGGGAUGAGCUGGGCACCUUCUACGCCCCCCGUGCCUGGUGGAUGUUCCGGGCCUUUGGGCACAAGGAGGUCUCCGUGCUGGAUGGCGGCUUCAAGAACUGGGUGAAGGAGGGCCACCCCGUUACGGCAGAGGUCAGCCAGCCUGCCCCAGCUGUCUUUAAGGCCAAGCUGAACAUGGCCCUAGUGAAGACCUUCGAGGAGAUGAUCCAGAACGUGGGGUCCCUGCGGUUCCAGGUGGUGGAUUCCCGCUCCGAGGGCUGGUUCCGGGGGACCGAGCUGGACCAAGGUAACGGAAGUGGGAACAGCACCUGCCCCCUGCACCAGAGCGGGAUAAGUGUCAAUGCUAGUCUGGGUGUAACAGCUCCUCCCAGCCAGCAAACAUUUUUCUAA